rnacentral:rRNA from 1 species
UACGGAGGGGACUAGCGUUGUUCGGAAUUACUGGGCGUAAAGCGCACGUAGGCGGAUUUGUUAGUCAGGGGUGAAAUCCCGGGGCUCAACCUCGGAACUGCCUUUGAUACUGCAAGUCUUGAGUCCGGAAGAGGUGAGUGGAAUUCCUAGUGUAGAGGUGAAAUUCGUAGAUAUUAGGAGGAACACCAGUGGCGAAGGCGGCUCACUGGUCCGGUACUGACGCUGAGGUGCGAAAGCGUGGGGAGCAAACAGG